rnacentral:rRNA from 1 species
CCUACGGGAGGCUGCAGUGAGGAAUAUUGGUCAAUGGACGGAAGUCUGAACCAGCCAUGCCGCGUGCAGGAAGACGGCUCUAUGAGUUGUAAACUGCUUUUGUACAAGGGUAAACCUGAAUACGUGUAUUCAGCUGAAAGUACUGUACGAAUAAGGAUCGGCUAACUCCGUGCCAGCAGCCGCGGUAAUACGGAGGAUCCAAGCGUUAUCCGGAUUUAUUGGGUUUAAAGGGUGCGUAGGCGGAUUGAUAAGUUAGAGGUGAAAUGUCCGAGCUUAACUCGGGAACUGCCUCUAAUACUGUUGAUCUAGAGAGUAGAUGCGGUAGGCGGAAUGUAUGGUGUAGCGGGGAAAUGCUUAGAGAUCAGACAGAACACCGAUUGCGAAGGCAGCUUACCAAUCUAUAUCUGACGUUGAGGCACGAAAGCGUGGGGAGCAAACAGGAUUAGAUACCCGGGUAGUC